AUAACAUGUGCUGUUCUUUGAUUUUUCCAAAUUCUGAAGGUUCUUCAGGUGUUUUUUCCCAGACAAGUGUUUUGCAUAGACAUCGCUGCUGUUACAGUUGAUUUGGCAGACUUCGCACCAUGUAAAAGAAAGCCGUAGCUUGUGGAUAGGGGAUUAUCAGUUCUAGAUGCUAGGAUUUACAUCCCGGACCUACUGAAUGCCACCUCUUAUAGAAAGCUGCAAAAGUGAAUUCAUGGCCCAAUGACAAAUAACCUUUUACAUGCAUGCUUAAGAUAAUAUAAAAAUAAAUAGAAAACACUUGGGAUUUAACUCUAUUCUGAAGAAAAGGCUACAAUUUUUUCCUAGUUUACUAAUUAACGUACCUGAGCAACAUGUCUUCUUCCGGAAAUAUGUUUAACGAAAGCAUCAUUGCUAUUACAAGCAACAUUGCAUAUGGUGCACAUCCGAAUGGAACCAACGGGAGCCCCAGCAUUCAAAAGUUGUUGCUUCUUUCUAUCCAAUUCAUGAAAAUUUGCCACACCAGAAGCCCCAAAUAUCAACUGUCCACCUACAUUUCCUGUUUUGUCCACGAUGCUUACGUUAUUGAUAGUAUUAGAAAUUUCUGGAAAUAGUGCAGUAACGGGAUUUAUCAUUGCUUGCAAAUUCCUCGGAUGCUUCUUUCCCAUAAGGUGUCUCUUACAACCAUCUUUGGUUUUGCAUACAACAUUACAAACAUCAUAC